rnacentral:rRNA from 1 species
GGCUUAGAGUUUGAUCAUGGCUCAGGACGAACGCUGGCGGCGCGCCUAACACAUGCAAGUCGAACGGAGCUUUUUAGAGCUUGCUUUGAAAAGCUUAGUGGCGAACGGGUGAGUAACGCGUGAGUAACCUGCCCUCGAGUGGGGGACAACAGUUGGAAACGACUGCUAAUACCGCAUAAGACCACGGAGCCGCAUGGCUCAGGGGUAAAAGGAUUUAUUCGCUUGAGGAUGGACUCGCGUCCAAUUAGCUAGUUGGUGAGGUAACGGCCCACCAAGGCGACGAUUGGUAGCCGGACUGAGAGGUUGAUCGGCCACAUUGGGACUGAGACACGGCCCAGACUCCUAUGGGAGGCAGCAGUGGGGGAUAUUGCACAAUGGGGGAAACCCUGAUGCAGCGACGCCGCGUGAAGGAAGAAGGCCUUCGGGUUGUAAACUUCUGUCGUACGGGACGAUAAUGACGGUACCGUACAAGAAAGCCACGGCUAACUACGUGCCAGCAGCCGCGGUAAAACGUAGGUGGCAAGCGUUGUCCGGAAUUACUGGGUGUAAAGGGAGCGCAGGCGGACUAGCAAGUUGGAAGUGAAGUCUAUGGGCUCAACCCAUAAAUUGCUUUCAAAACUGCCGGUCUUGAGUAGUGCAGAGGUAGGCGGAAUUCCCGGUGUAGCGGUGGAAUGCGUAGAUAUCGGGAGGAACACCAGUGGCGAAGGCGGGCCUACUGGGCACCAACUGACGCUGAGGCUCGAAAGUAUGGGUAGCAAACAGGAUUACUGGUAGUCCAUACCGUAAACGAUGAUUACUAGGUGUUGGAGGAUUGACCUCUUCAGUGCCGCAGUCAACACAAUAAGUAAUCCACCUGGGGAG